rnacentral:rRNA from 1 species
UACGAAGGGGGCUAGCGUUGCUCGGAAUCACUGGGCGUAAAGCGCACGUAGGCGGCUUUUUAAGUCAGGGGUGAAAUCCUGGAGCUCAACUCCAGAACUGCCUUUGAUACUGAGAAGCUUGAGUCCGGGAGAGGUGAGUGGAACUGCGAGUGUAGAGGUGAAAUUCGUAGAUAUUCACAAGAACACCAGUGGCGAAGGCGGCUCACUGGCCCGAUACUGACGCUGAGGCACGAAAGCGUGGGGAGCAAACAGG